CCAUAUUUUAUUUUGGCGGGUCAAACUGACGUCAUGCUUUAAGUUCCGGAUCACAGGUGAAUUCGGAUCUCCUCAAUUGCUGUUGCUGCUGUCACCGUGGCUAGCUGCUUGUGCUUGGCGUCUUCCAAAAUUACAGAAGGAUACGGCUGGAUCGAGCCCUAUUAACACAGCCGAAGGAUUAUAUUGGGUGUUUUCUGGCAACCGCUCGACGGUCAGGUUUUUGUUUCCACCCCCUGUUUCAACCCAGGAUGGCGAGCUACCGGAUCACCGCAGCUUUGCAGUUGGACUUAAUUGAACCAAACUACUUUAUGCAUUGUGGACCUAUUGCCUUGGAUCAUAGACUAAAAACAGUCGGAUUAUUGACUGAUGGACCAUUAAUCACCCUGGAUUCAAGAACGGAUUUAAAAUAGGAAAAGAACUCUUGGGUGUCAUCAGGGUUUAUUGUUUUGUUGUUUUGUUUUUUCUUGUUGUGUCUUUUGGUUAUAUUCAUAGAAAAUCACUAUUAUUGAAUACCUUCCUAAAUAUAUGCAAAAAUAUAAACUUGAAUACAAUAACUUGAACUUACUUUUUGUCUAAUGGUGUUUUAUUCACACACACGGGCUCCACAGCCGAACCUUUCUGACUGCCUAUUAUUAUAUUUGGCCGUAGUCAGGCGCCUAGCCUUAAUUAGCGUUACACAGAU